ensembl:lncRNA
GUCCAAACAACCACCUCACCCACUAACGCUCCACCCUCCCCAGUCCUGCUCCAUCCUCUCCACCCUCCCCAGUCCCGCUCCAUCCUCUCCACCCUCCCCAGUCCCGCUCCAUCCCUCCCCGCAGCAGCAGCAGCAGCAGCAGCAGCCUCUCCCCGGAGAUGGAGCGCCUGUAGAAGCUGGAAGCACCAUGAGGUCUCCGCGGCUCUGCGCGGCUCUCUGCCUGCUCCUCACCGUCUCCUGCCGGCUGUGCGCGGCCGCCCGACACGGUUGUUUGUUUGAGAAGAAGCUCUGUCCCAGAGACCAGCUGUGCACCGAUGGUGAGUUUCACUUGUCAUGUGACUGAUUGACUGAUCGAUUACCUCACAGAGUGAUGAAAUUGAUCCUCACAGCUGCAGCGCUGCUGUGUGCGAGGAGACACGUUCACUGAUCGAUCCUUUGACAGCUGCAGUGCUUUAAAGGUUCAGUUCAUCUGAAUAAGAAAACUUUUGGAUCUUCCGUCAGGUCCUCCAGGUCAGAAUCAGAAGAAGGGAGGAGAAAUCCAUUUAGUUAAAUACAUCUCUUGCGUUUAUUGUAAACCCACACACACAUCUCUCUCCACACAUUCAUGAGGCCAAAUGAAAGCUUCCCAGAUACCCUCCUCUGGGAGGCUGACAGACACUUUCUUCCCCCCAUAGGAAGCUCUUAUUCACGAUAUCCUGAAUGCAGCGUGACGGGCUUAUUAAAUCGAUCCUCAGGGAGCCUGAGGGAGCCUCACAUCACGCAGACAGCAGAUUGUCCGUCGUCACGGCUACGGGGCGCCAUGUAAUCCCUCACAGGGCGUCCAGCUUCCUCUGAACGUGGGCGGGAUGUCAUAACAGGAGCGUGCACGUGCACCUGUGUGAGCACCUGUGCGUCUCAGCCUGGUGAAUUAUUGAUGCUGGUAUGUUUCUACCUUCAUGAUGUAACAUGAAGGGAACGACCUGACGACUUGCUCAAAUUUCAAUCUCUUCUCUCCUCUUUUUCUGCUUUUAACUCUGCUGCUAAAAGCUCUUUCUACCAAUCCAGAAUCCAAUCUUCAUUUUCUAACCCCAAAAAACUCUUUUCAAUCUUCUCCAACCUCCUCGAACCCCUAGUCCUCCUCCCCCCUCCACCCUUCUUCCGGGAGACUUUGUCAACUACUUUACCAAGAAAAUAGCUGACAUACGCUCCUCCUUCUCAAACCCACCUCCUACUACUCGUGUCCCACUGGCUUCACCUCUUUUGCCCUCACUUUCCUCCUUCACCCCCCUGUCUCCUAACCAAGUUCUUACCCUAGUAACCUCUGCCCGUCCACCACCUGCCCUCUUGACCCCAUUCCAUCACAUCUUCUACAAUCUAUCGCUCCUGACCUUCUUCCGUUCCUCACCCGUCUCAUCAACAACGCUCUGUCAUCGGGCUGUUUUCCCAAUUCUCUGAAGGAGAAGAGUUAACCCUCUCCUGAAGAAACCUACCCUCAACCCUCCUGAAGAAAACAACUACAGACGGUCUCUCUUCUUCCCUUUUUGUCCAAAACCCUUGAACGUGUGAUCUUUAACCAACUCUCCUCCUAUCUCCACCAUAACAACCUCCCUGACCCCCACCAGUCAGGCUUCAAGGCCGUUCCACAGAGACUGCUCUCCUUGCUGUCUCAGAGCAGCUCCACACUGCUAGAGCUCCUCUCUGUCCUCUGUCCUCGUCCUUCUGGACCUCUCUGCUGCAUUUGACACACGUUAACCACAAGAUCCUUAUUUCCUCCCUUCAGGAACUUGGUGUCUCAGGCUCUGCUCUCUCCCUUCUCUCGUCCUACCUUGAGGAUCUGUGUUGGAACUCUUGUCCUCUUACUACUGGAGUUCCUCAGGGUUCCGUCCUGGGUUCCCUCCUCUUCUCGCUCUACACCAACUCUCUCAGCGCUGUCAUUCGCUCGCAUGGCUUCUCUUACCACAGCGAUGGCGAUGGCACCCAACUAAUUCUCUCCUUCCCUCACUCGGAUCUCUGCCUGUCUGACUGACAUCUCUCAGUGGAUCCGCCCACCAUCUGAAAAUCAACCCCGACAGACUGAACUACUUCUCUUUCCAGGAAAAGACUCUCCGGUUCAGGCUCUUGUCGUCUCCCUCCUGGACUACUGUAACUGUCUCCUGCAGGUCUCCUGCUACCUCCGUUCCACCUCUGCAGCUCAUCCAGAAUGCAGCAGCUCCACUGGUCUUUAACCUUCCUAAGUUCUCCCUCACUCCUCCACUCCUCCGCUCUCUUCACUGGUACCGGUGGCUCAUCCAGUUCUAAACAUGGUGCUCACGUACCAGGCUGUGAAUGGAUGGGGUCCAGUUUACAUCAAGGACCUGGUCCAACCCGACAUCCCGACCUCUGAC